rnacentral:rRNA from 1 species
UACGUAGGUGGCGAGCGUUACUCGGAAUUACUAGGCGUAAAGCGCAGGUAGGUGGUUGGGUAAGUCCGCAAUGAAAGCUCCCGGCUUAACUGGGAGAGGUUUGUGGAUACUGCUUGACUCGAGUGUGGGAGAGGUAACUGGAAUUCCCGGUGUAGCGGUGAAAUGCGUAGAGAUCGGGAGGAACACCAACGGCGAAAGCAGGUACUGGCCCAAUACUGACACUGAGCUGCGAAAGCUAGGGGAGCAAACAGG